GAUCUGGGUAACCCGGAACAGUUUGAUGUGUUUUUUGUAGCUGAACACAACCCUUCAUUCGUAACAACAACAACUCAAUGAACCUAUCGUACACCGACAGUGCUUCUAGGACCAGUGAGUUUUCCCCUCCCGAGAUGUCAGCUGACUCCAUGGAGAUUGAUGACUCCCUGUACAGUCGUCAGAGGUAUGUCCUGGGGGACAGUGCUAUGCAGCAGAUGGCUCAGUCUUCUGUCUUCCUCAGUGGAAUGGGAGGACUGGGAGUGGAGAUCGCAAAGAACAUCGUGUUGGCAGGUGUGAAGGUG